UACAGAGGGUGCAAGCGUUAAUCGGAUUUACUGGGCGUAAAGCGUGCGUAGGUGGCGAUUUAAGUCGGAUGUGAAAGCCCUGGGCUUAACCUGGGAACUGCAUUCGAUACUGGGUUGCUAGAGAUCGGUAGAGGGCAGCGGAAUUCCGGGGUGUAGCGGUGAAAUGCGUAGAUAUCCGGAGGAACACCGAUGGCGAAGGCAACUGCCUGGGCCUGAUCUGACACUGAGGCACGAAAGCGUGGGUAGCAAACAGG
rnacentral:rRNA from 1 species